GUAGGUGGCAAGCGUUGUCCGGGAAUUAUUGGGGCGUAAAGCGCGCGCAGGCGGUUCUUUAAGUCUGAUGUGAAAGCCCACGGGCUCAACCGUGGAAGGUCAUUGGAAACUGGAGAACUUGAGUACAGAAGAGGAAAGCGGAAUUCCACGUGUAGCGGUGAAAUGCGUAGAGAUGUGGAGGAACACCAGUGGCGAAGGCGGCUUUCUGGUCUGUAACUGACGCUGAGGCGCGAAAGCGUGGGGAGCAAACAGGAUUAGAUACCCUGGUAGUCCACGCCGUAAACGAUGAGUGCUAAGUGUUAGGGGGUUUCCGCCCCUUAGUGCUGCAGCUAACGCAUUAAGCACUCCGCCUGGGGAGUACGGCCGCAAAGGCUGA
rnacentral:rRNA from 1 species